rnacentral:lncRNA from 10 species
CUGGGGGAAGUCCUGGGACCCUUUUAGGGCAGGGAGGAGCUGGAUGAACCUGGGCAUCUGCCGCCCUCGCCAACAGGAGUUGUGGGAGUGCUCCCUUCCCCAGGAGGUCACAGAAAACAAGCAUGUCCAGUGUGCCAGAGGAUUCGGACUGAGAGAACUACUCUUUUCCUUUAAGUGUGAUUGUUCAUCUCAGGAUAAAAUGGGAAAGGAAUGACCAAACCAACAGAACAUAAGAAAGAAGAACUCGGAGUCCAGGAAAGUCCUGGUGAGUGAGGGUGGAGGAGACAGAACCGUGGAGAGAGGGGCAUGUCCUCAGGAGAGACCAGGUCUCUCCCUCCUCUGGACUCUGCCCUGGGUUCUGCGGCUGUAGGUCAGGCGGAAAAUCUCGACAAUUAGAAAGUCUUCAGUGGAGCUGGGAAACUGAAAACUUUCCAGGGGAAGCAGAAACCCAGGUUCUGUUACUUUGCUUCUGGAGACUUGAGCUUUGAUUGAUGGUAGAGAGCAGUCUUCAACCUGGGACCCAUUCCUAGGUGGUUUUAUAAUCAGCUACAGGACUCUGACAGGUGCUCUCGAAGGCAGGUGUUUAAUAACUUUGGAGACUGUGACACUAGAAUAGAGGAAAAACUUCCAAGACUCUCAUAGACAGGUAAUGUAUUCAAAAACAUUGAACAGAACAAGAGUUAACUAUGUAGACUAAACUAAUGGAAAACUGAAAUAAUCUUUUUUUGACUUGUUUUGAAACAUUACUAACUCUUGUUUCUGAGUCCAGAAAACCCCUUUGAACUAUUUACAGCUUUUAACAAUUGGGUUAACUACACUCCCGUGAGCAAAAUCUAAAGCAUAUUUCUUUCUACCUAAUUCCUCCAAAUUUGAAAGCUAUUUGCAAGCAUACUUAAUUUGUAUCAGUAUAAUUAUUUGCAUAAUUCAAUAAUAAUCUGUUUUCUUUUGUAACAGGAUACAGUUGAGGACAAUGGUAAUUUAACCAAGUCUUUGACUGGAGUUGCAUACUUUCAGAUAUAAAGAAACUGCUUUAAGGGAUCAGAGUUGACUUAGAAAGCCAAUAAAAGCCCCUUUGGAAAGCUGGCCUCCUACCUUGUCUACCCAGUUCUUGUACAGGUUUCUGACCUGUGCUGUGCCUUCUUAAAGGCUGGAGCCUGGAGCACAUGAGGAGAAUUCACAGAAGUGCCUGGAAAGGGAACUGCGGUGGAUCUUACAGAGACUUGAAACAUGUGGAGAAGUUUGGCUUUUAUUCAUAAAGGACAAAGUGCUGCCUCCACCUCCCCACCUGUCUAGUUUUAUUCAGUGAUGUCUAUCCUCAUGACUUGGGCCAUUUUCAUCAUCACGUCUAUUUGGUUACCUAGGUCUGCCGUUUUUUGUUUUUGUUUUUUCCCAAAUGCUUUCCACAUAAGAUGGCCUAGGUGUCAAUUGCUUAUCUCAGUGGAAUCAUUUCUACUCACCUAUAAAAUGGGAGUAAUAAAAAUGCUAUGUAUCCGAUUGUUGUGAGGAUGAAAUGGGAAUACUUGGACAUGGGGCCUGGUUGCUGGUGGAGGCAUCUGCUCUGUUCCCUGCUGCAUCCCUCACUUCCUGCCAUCCUCUUGCCCCACUUCUGCAGUGCUGAGUGACAGGCCCACAGCCUCCAUGCCCUCCUGUUCCUUCCUUCUCUGCUGAUCUUUUCUGUUUCCAGACACAUCUGCCACUACUGUCUGGUCCAAACACUCUUUCACCUAGGAAGUUUAAGCACGUUGUUGAACUAGAAAUAAUGUAUUCACUCAGUUACUUAUACACACAUUCUUUUCCCACUCAUUAAAAGUGGUUUGAAAAAUUUAUUUCAUUGUUCUUAAAGUGCUGAAUCAAGUGUUUUUCCUUUGGUUGGGAAAGGCCUUUGCCGUUUACCUUCAUCCACUCAUUCAUUUGUGAAGAUGUGUGUGCAGGCCCUAUGGUGACAGUGUCUGUCUAAAGUGAAGAGCUCAGCACCCAAACUCUAGAACAUCUGAAAACGUAGCUAGAUCCUGUGUUCUCUUCUCUAACAGAGUUAAAGUUAAGGUGCAUUUACUCAGUGCCUAGGGGGUAAAAAUGUGCGGUUCAGACUUCAACCAUGUGGGUGCUGUUUUUACCCAGAAUACCAACUGAUUCCAGGAAAGAGUAUUAGGAGAUUCAAGAUUUCUAUUUCUUUUGAACAUAUGUUAUUAGAGUUAAUUGUUAGGAAACUAUUUUAAAGAUAAUUAUUUGAAUACUGAAAAUGACUUUGAUUUCUAACAGGAAGCCAGGCUCACUUGUUACUUCCACAUAUGUGAUGAAGGCAAAAGACCACAGUUGCAUACAUUUGCAUAGUUAUCCUCGAGACUGGAAAUGUCAGUAAGAUGCAAUUGAUUGACUUGCUGAUUGUCUUUCCUCAUGUGAGCGUCUUUUCCAUGUUCAUGACCCACCACUGAUAUUCUGUGGAACUGAACUAAAACUAUGGUCCCCGAAGCCUUGUUGGGGGUGUGGAGGAAGGC